rnacentral:rRNA from 1 species
GUAGGGAAUCUUGCGCAAUGGGCGAAAGCCUGACGCAGCCAUGCCGCGUGAAUGAUGAAGGUCUUAGGAUUGUAAAAUUCUUUCACCGGGGACGAUAAUGACGGUACCCGGAGAAGAAGCCCCGGCUAACUUCGUGCCAGCAGCCGCGGUAAUACGAAGGGGGCUAGCGUUGCUCGGAAUUACUGGGCGUAAAGGGAGCGUAGGCGGAUAGUUUAGUCAGAGGUGAACGCCCAGGGCUCAACCUUGGAAUUGCCUUUGAUACUGGCUAUCUUGAGUAUGGAAGAGGUAUGUGGAACUCCGAGUGUAGAGGUGAAAUUCGUAGAUAUUCGGAAGAACACCAGUGGCGAAGGCGACAUACUGGUCCGGUACUGACGCUGAGGUGCGAAAGCGUGGGGAGCAAACAGGAUUAGAUACCCCAGUAGUCC